rnacentral:rRNA from 1 species
AUUGAACGCUGGCGGCAGGCCUAACACAUGCAAGUCGAGCGGAGCGGCGGACGGGUGAGUAAUGCCUAGGAAUCUGCCUGGUAGUGGGGGAUAACGUCCGGAAACGGGCGCUAAUACCGCAUACUAUCAGAUGAGCCUAGGUCGGAUUAGCUAGUUGGUGAGGUAACGGCUCACCAAGGCCACGAUGCAUAGCCGACCUGAGAGGGUGAUCGGCCACACUGGGACUGAGACACGGCCCAGACUCCUACGGGAGGCAGCAGUGGGGAAUAUUGGACAAUGGGCGAAAGCCUGAUCCAGCCAUGCCGCGUGUGUGAAGAAGGUCUUCGGAUUGUAAAGCACUUUAAGUUGGGAGGCGUUACCAACAGAAUAAGCACCGGCUAACUUCGUGCCAGCAGCCGCGGUAAUUC